CCUACGGGAGGCAGCAGUGGGGAAUAUUGCACAAUGGGCGAAAGCCUGAUGGAGCAACGCCGCGUGCAGGAUGAAGGCCUUCGGGUUGUAAACUGCUUUUAUAAGCGAGAAAUAUGAUGGUAACUUAUGAAUAAGGAUCGGCUAACUACGUGCCAGCAGCCGCGGUCAUACGUAGGAUCCGAGCAUUAUCCGGAGUGACUGGGUGUAAAGAGUUGCGUAGGUGGCAUAAUAAGUAGCUAGUGAAAUCUGGUGGCUCAACCAUUCAGACUAUUAGCUAAACUGUUAAGCUCGAGACCGUUAGGGGUAACUGGAAUUUCUAGUGUAGGAGUGAAAUCCGUAGAUAUUAGAAGGAACACCAAUAGCGUAGGCAGGUUGCUGGGACGGUUCUGACACUAAGGCACGAAAGCGUAGGGAGCAAACGGGAUUAGAUACCCAUGUAGUC
rnacentral:rRNA from 1 species